UAUGUUUGCAGCCCCACUACUGCUGCCCAGUGCUGUGAAUGCAUGCUAGGCAGCAGCCUUCCAACUCAACUGUAUCCUUCAGACAUACAUCCAAAGGCUGUGUCCGGAGGAAUGGUCUCCCACAAGAUUUGCGAUUCACCCUGUCUACCUACAUGAUAUCCCAGAAAACUAAUCUCCAGGAUGACAGCUCAUUCAGCACUCUGGAAAUUUACCCAUGCUGAGCUCCUCUUUAAAUAAUGACCUGACAUUUGUUCUGUAGAGGGAGACAAAGCCCAGACUGAUGAAAACGGUUGGCAGCUGCUUUCAUUUGUGCCAUUCAGAAGCCAGAUGAUAAUUUGUCCUCAGGGACCCAUCACUUCUUGGCAGUCAGACCUGUCCACUGCACUUUGCUAUUACUUUGGCUGUUACCUCCCACCCCUGGUGCAUGCAGCACACACACAGAGUCAAUAUUCAAGGCAGACUAAACUAAAAUUUACUGCAAAGAGUCAUGAAGGAUUUAAUGUUUCUGAGAAGCGGGAGAUAAGAUCACAUAUUAAUUUGGUGCUGGUAAAUCCAAAGCAGUAGAUAUUGGGAAAGACAUUGUUAGACCUACAUAAAAGGUUAAAUUAGCUAUUGCUCAGAAAAGAGAUCCCAGCCUCUUUGAACUGUUUAAUGAAGACAUUAGCUAAGCAAUAAAGGCCAAAGAGGCAAAGCACUCUGAACUAGUGGGCAAACAGAUCAAGCCAGAAAACAUUGUUCCAGAUGAACUUUGAGUUCACAUUUUGCAUACACUGUGGAGCUCUCAUUCCUUUAAAUUAGCUAGAGCAGAAAUACAAAAUAUACAGACAAGGAUGACCAUGGUAAUCAGAGCAUCUUCCAUAUAAGCAGAUGUUAAAUAAAUGAGGACUUCCCAGCCUGGAAAAAAAGAGGUUACUAGGAGGUGAUAAUAAUGAUGACACAUUAAAUCAUCAAUGGAAUCCAGGAGAACAGAUGCAAUUAUUCAUUAUUUUUCACAGGAUACAACUGGAAGAGAUAAAAUGAAGUGCUCACAUACCAGCUUGCAUGAAAUAAUUACCCAACAAAGUGCUUUUUUUCCACAGCCAAUACACACCUGUAGCAUUAACUGUCAAAGGAUGUUAUGGUUGCAGUUUAGGAUGGAAUGCAGAAUUUACCUUGGACCAAAAAAUCCUUCCCAAUUCUUGGAAACACUAUAUAAAUAUAUAGGGCCAUCCACACUUUAGCUGUGGAAGAGCAAUAGCAACAGCAAUGAGACAAGUCUAUGCAUGUGGUCCCAGCACAUCUUAGAUCCCUUUAGAUGCAGAGUCUGUGGUACCCAUGAAGGGAGAGGAUAUAUAUAUAUAUAUAUUUCAUACUGUGCCUCUUCUUUCUAUUCCUGGCAGUUUUUAUUUUUAAGGAUCCCCAAAUUGUUGCUGCUAUGUUGGAUGUCAUCUAUUCUACCCAGCAACAGAGGAAGUCAUAGCUGCCCUUCAGAGACAUGUUUGCAGAGAGAUGGGGAGAGACAAGCUGAAGCAGGCUUCCCUCUUAAAGGAUUGAAAAAGAAAAAGCCCCAGUGUGCUGCAAAUGUUCCAGCCACUAUUUUCCAAGUACAUGAUCUGCUCUCUCAUCUAAGCUGAACACGCUGAACACUUGAAUGUGUCCAACUCUCACUGACAUCAGCAAGGUCAGGCAGCAAUACAGGCAGCCGUGCUGCUGUCCUGCUUCUCCCUUUGGAACCAGUGCUCUGUUACAUAAUCCCUCCUGUUGUCCUGGAACCUCUGCAGCCACUCUCAGUCAGCAGUGGUUAGUGAGGGAAAGGGAGCAGGGGUUCAGCCUUGGAAGUUACUGUGCAACACAAUUGCAAGUGGUGCCACCAAGGAGAAGUCAAAGGGACACUGUACAUAAAGCAGUGCCAAGUACUCAAAUGCAUCUGUUUCCAUGGCUAUAGCACAGCCUGCCAAAAUACAGUGCUGGUUUAUAUCUGAGUCAAAUUGCACUUCAGUCACACUACUGUCGCUGUCCUUUGCAACUGCUUUAGUCCAGGAUUCCUGCACAAGCCUUGCUUCUUUCACAUAAAUAUCCAUUGAUGAUUUUUGCUGAAGAAAAUGCAGUCAAGGUGGAAUUCACUCUUCACCCGGGAGUCAGGAGCUCUUCCUUUGCUGAUUCUGCCCACAAGACAAAACCCCAGGGGCAGAAGGCCACGAGCUCUAUGUAGAACAUGCUGUGGUCUGCAGCUUUUUUCCCUCCAGCACAGUGGGGACCCAGGCAGGGUCCAGGGGAUCCUUCCCUGGGGAAGGCACGCAGCCAGGGCUGCCUCAUGGCUUAGAGCUGCACCCAGCCAUUGCAAAGCCCCUCAGCUCUGCAGUUCUCCUGUCAUGGUGCAGGCAGGUGAGAACACCUCUAAGAGGCCACAAAUCUGGUUCUCACACACAAAGGUGAAGAAACAAAGAAACUUGGUCUCACUUUCUGCAAUACCCAUGGCCAAAAAUAAUCCAGUACAGAGCAGGAACUGGUGUACCGCAAAUCCUGGAAGGGUUUCAUUUUCCCCCAAGAGGCAGGGAGGGAGCAGAGCAUGAACCAGACCUGGUUCAGUUACUUUCCUUAUGAGGCUGUGCAAGCCUGGCCCAUGGCUUGGGCUGCCCUGCAGUCUUGCUUUCUAUGACACCCUGCCCUUCCUGAUUACAGACUUGGAAUGAUCACUGCUCAACAUAGGUGUCAGCCAGACUGUCUCUACAUCAGGCUCACCACACAUCACUGAGACACCAUGAACUUCCACCAGCUCAGCUGAAGAGGUGUUUGCCCCUCUCUGCUCCUCAGCAGUGUCACAGGCUGGGACUGCUGGUUUCCACACCAGAUCUCUUUAUGCCAGAUAUUCAUGGAGCCCAGUUUGGGCAGCUUCCCAGCCAGCUGCAUGCAUUCCCCUUUCAAAUCCCAAACACAACAGAAAAAGAAAAGCCCAUCCAAAAUGGAGAAGAAGAGGACAUGUGCAGUGUCUUCAGCUUUACACUAAAGUGUCAGUUCACUUUUCCCCAAAUACAGAGCCCAAUGAUUGGUGAUAAUUUUCUGUUCUAUCUUCUUAAAGCUGCGUAAGAGAAUCAGUGCCAUUCUUUGGUAGCAUGAUUCACCCCAACACCGCCAGGAAGAAAACAGUUUGAAACACCAGAUGCUCUUUGCAACCAGUGCUUUGGAUAUAUUUCCAGCAAGGGUUUUUCUUCCCUCCCCACGAAAACAGACACACAUUCUCAUUUAACAACUAAUUGAUUUAUUUAACAAUACAAAUUUCUUUCUACUGCAUGGUUUAGCAGAGAGAACUUGAGAAACAAAAUUAGCUUCUUCUCUUUUUCUUUUAAAGUUUAAAUGUUUACACAAAAACAACCUUUACUUCAGUAAAUAUAAAAUUUACACACAAAAAAAAUCUACAUUAAAAAAUAACAGAAUCAUGACAAACCAACAAAAAAAAAAAAAGGGGGGGAUGGGAAUUCAGUGUAAAGGAUCCAAUUGCAAGGAAGGCAAGAUGGGGCAACACUAACAAGGCAUCCCAUUUGUACACCUAGGUACCUGAAGUUGUAGGUACAAUACAAACCCAAAAUACAUUAAAAUUAGAAUUAAAACCUGUAUUUUUAUACCAUAAUAUUUUAUGAUAUAAAUUUCUGUAAAUUCUGUAGGCGACACAGUUAAUGUGUGAGCUCCACAGUUUGCUCUCCACUGGAAGGUCACUGGAGUGGUGUAGGAGCACCGUGUGGCCCACGAGUGCACUAAUGGUCAGCAGGGAGCAGACUUCAGACGUGCAGCCCGGACGUGAUAGCCCCUUGUUCCUUUGCCAAUCUGUGCUAUUUCUCACACAUCCAAUGACAUGACGAGAAAUUCCGGUCACCUUCAGCAGUGAUUUCCAGCACUUCAUCUCCUGGCAUUAGUCUGUUACCUGACUUAGGCAUAUUCACCUGCCAGAUCCUGUUUCUCAUUCCCUUUUGCACUUUUUAACCUGAACUCUAAAGCUAUCUUGUAGCUACCAAGAGAGACUGGCUUCUAGGUUGAGAUAUUUGGGAUACACAGUUCUUCAAGCCACCUUCAGGCAUCUGUAGAAAUAUUUAAAGUAAGGUGGACCUUACUUUACAUGGUCAAAGGUUGUGUGAUACAAAAACCAGGGACCUGUAUAGUAAUGGUUAACUUUAGACCUAAAUCUUUAGCAUUUUUUUGUAUUGCUUUAAUAUUUAAACUUAACAUUCAGUUUUCAUAUAUUAAGUGAGCAGAGCAUCUUAUUGAUGGAAGUGCUAUGUUAUCUCUGAAAAUACCAGGUAGUAAGGGAGAUUGUAAAAUUUAAAAUUAAGUGUAAUUUUAAAAAUCAUUUAAAGGAAUCAAGUGUCUUUUUUUUUUUAUAUAUAAUCAAUAUUGUGACUGGCAAACUAUAAAAGCUUAAAUUAUAAAACUAUUAGUGACUCUACCUUUUAAACUGUAUGUACUAUAAAGCUGUAUUUUUGUACUUACAGAUGUUACAAAAUUUCCAAGGCAGAAAAUGAAGGGGGGAAAAGGUAGUCUAAAAUAAUUUACAGAUUUCAUUUUUACUAAGAAAGGUUAUUUUCCCCACUACUGUUUUUAUGUCAUAUAAAUCUGAUUAAGUUUAUUGUACUCCUCUCUUUUCUGGGUAGAUGAUACAGUGUUCAAUCAUGCUUUGGAAGACCUUUUUCAAUGGAUAACUCAGUUCUCUAGGUCAGCAAGUCCAACUUGCUUUACUCAGAAACAAAAGCACCAGACUAUCUCUAACUUCGCCUUCCUCCUGAAAAAAACCUUUGUAGCGAGACUGAGGCAGCCUGUUCUGAGAGCAGGACUGGCCCUGGAGCAACCAGCUGUGUUAACUUCUCGAGUAAGCAUAUGAAAUGUGAUCAUUUCAACUUGAGAAAGAGCUGAAAAGUAUUAAAUUUCAGAAAAGUUUAGAAAUUUCACUUGUUCUGUUAAAAACAAAACAGGGAAAACUUAAACAAUCCACAGGUGUGCAUUAAACAUUUAAUAGCAAGCCUUUGCUUAUGUAUAUUAAUUUAAAAAUUAUCCACAGGGAUCUGUGAUACAUUGGUCUUGCCUUGUUAUUAUAAUUAAAUUUAUUAAAAUAUUAAUUUAAAAUAGGAAAACAAAGAAACUACUCCAUGGGGAACAUGUUUAUUGUGUUUGAGAUGAUACACUGGGUGCUCUCUGAGCUACAAAGGGAAAAAGGAAAUCCUUUCAUUACAAACUGACAAAGGUAAAAGUUAGAACAGUUUUCACAACAGCAUGUACCACAUAUUGGAAAUAGAUCUGGGUUUAAUACAAAUGACAUAAUUCCUAGUAAUCUACAGCUACCUUUAAUAACUUCA